CAUAAAUUUCUCAACUCACUUUCUUUUGAGUUAAGUCUUGGUUCACCUAACUACUAGGCUUUGAAUUUAAUGGGUAAUGUUUUGUUUUGAGUGCAUGCAAGCAUGAUUCCGCCUUUAAUUUGUUAAUUGCAUGCUAUAGAUGUUGCUCAAAUGAACAUGUUUUUCACAAAAUUUCCUUCAAGUGGUAUCAAAGCCUAGGUCUAGUAGUUGGUGAAUCCUUUUGGGUUUUGUAGUUCAUAGUUUUUGAUUUGAAUGUUGUAAUUGUUACAAGCUUUAUUCUUGCUUCUUUGAAUAUAAAUUUUGUUAGAAAAUUUGCCAUCUCAAAUGUUGUAGAUGUAGUUCAUAUGAGCAUGAAUUUUGGAGCUAAAAUUUGGUGCCAUGUUUUUGGGGAUUUUCGGCCAAAUCCAAAGGGUGGAUUUUUGGGUUCUUGUUUGUCUUAUUAAAAGUGUUUUAAGGUGACUUUUGGAACCCCUAAGUACCCUAGGAUGUUAACCCCAUUUUGAGUACUGAAAAUUUGAGUUUUAUUGAUUGAAAACAUUCAUGGAGCUCUUAUGGGUUUUCAUGGAUGUUCUUCAAUGUUCUUCGUAUGUUCUUGCCAAGAACAAAAAGGUUUGAUGUUAAGAUUCAAAGUUUUAGUUAAUUUCAUAAAGUCUUUGUUUUGUGUUGGUUGGUGUGAAAUUUCUAUCAACAAGACAUUUAUUUAAAAGGUGAUGGAAAUGUUGAUAGAGUGUUUGAAUUAAUGUACAUAAUUGAUAUUUUUCCUUACACACCUAUAUCACACCAACCCUAUUCCACUUGCAUGGCUUUAUGACUGUUGAAAAAUUUUCAAAAUUUUGUGGCUUCACUCUCUAUAACCAGCCACCCUAUUAAAAUAGGGUUCUUUUGGGGCUUUUAUGUAAUUACACAAAGUUUUGAUACUUUUGUGUAUUUGCAAUUUGACCCAAAAGUUUACGUAUUUACGUAAAGGCCCAAAAUCAUUAAAGGACAAAUUGUUGUGUUCCUUUAAUGAAGUUUUUGAAUUUGUUGAAAUUUUUGGGUUCUAGUUGUAAUUACAUGAAGUAAUGGACUUUUGUGUUUUUACAAAAUGAGCUCAAAAGUUUAAGUUUUGCAACAUAGCCCAAAAAGUUGAGGUUAUUGCAUUUUGGCCCAAAUUAGGUUGAGAACAAAAUGGUUUUGUCUCUUUAAAUGAGAAUUGGAUUUUCAUUUCAUUUAGCUCCAUUUAAAUCAAUUCUAUGGAUACAAAAACCAAAUGACAAAGUUGCAUUCAAAGUUUAAUUAGUUAAAGCGUUAAUUAAUUAAAGGGUGAUUAUGAACCUAAGCCUACGAUAAUUGAGCUAUGUGAAAGGCCGUCUCAAAUUUGUUUGAACCAUGGGAAUGUGUAGAUUAGAUUUUGGUUGUAAUUUGAUAUGAUCAAAUGUUGUAAAAGAGCAUAAGCUCUUCUUUACUUUGAAGUACUCAUUUUCUUGUUUUAUUUGAUAUGCAUGAAAUUGGAGUAGUUGGGUCCAACGCCCAAUAGGAAAACACGCCUUAAUAUGAUUAAACGCAUAACUAAAAUCAAUCACCAUCCCUAGAACGAGAUUCAACACUAGGCUCGUGUUGGAUCCAAUCAAAGGUUCAUAGUCACCCUAAGGCCCUAAGGCAACUAUAUAGUCCAUCAAUGAAUGCAAACCUUAUGUUAGUAGUACCAUAUACUCUUGCUUUAAAAACCAUUUUACAAGCAUAGUGGGAGUAUCAUGUACAACUAAAUCAAUCACAUGGACCAAUAGUUGUAAUAGGACCAAAUUGUUUUAAUAAGAUUAAAAUGAAUGUUUAUAUAUGAUGAGACCUAAAAUCCUCAACCAAACCAUUAUUAAGUUGAUAAACGUGAGAGUGCUUUGAACACUCUUUCGUGGCCUUCCACUGUGGUAGGCUCCGAUCAUUUGUGACUCGUACACUGACUUCACCCUAUCAUGGGGGAGUACAAAGUGCAUGCUUACACUUAGGAUGAAUCCUAUACGCAUACAUGAUGUUGUGAAGGUAGGCAACGAGAAUGAUCAACAUCAUAUAAUUAUGAGGUUGUUCUUGAACCCCUACCCGAACUUGCAUGGUGGGAAUGACUUAACUAAGUGCAAUGGAGCCAACAUCAUAUCAUUGUGAGGCUUCAUUCUCUAGAGGCCAAAUAAGAUGGGUACCUGCAAGAGAUGCAAAUGAGUAAGUGUACUCUCUCAUUAUUAUUGAUGCUAGCCAACAUCAUAUCAUUGUGAGGUGGGCUUGGUAAUGAUGAGUCUCCCAUACCCUACUAAGAGUUUCCUCCAAAACUCUCGAAUUCCGAUGAGGGAUAUGGAAUUUACCAAAAAUAGUGGGUGGUGCUAUUUGAUUUAAAGACCCGUAUCAAAUGGCUUAAAAUCAAUCAAUUUAUAUUCGUUAUGUAAUUGUUUACCAAUAUAUUUGCAAACGCUAUCCAAAACUUGACAAAGAAAAGCCGAAUGCUUUAGUUUCCGGACUUGGUACCACAAUCCCAAAGAUUGUCUUAAAUGGAUUGUAUAUGUACCUAAGUAGUCUAAUCCUCACAAUCUUCCUAUUGAUAAUGUAUCAUUGGAAGAACAUGUUAGAUAAGUCUAUCAUAAAGAGGACAACACUUUUAAUGUCAUAGUUCUUCACUUACAAAUCGUUGUAUGAAGAAAUAAGAGUUGCUUUGAACAAUCCUUAGCUAAUGCAAACACUAGUGCUUAUUUCUUUUUUAAAUGAACAAAGAACUUGAGAAGAAAGCACAAGGGCAUGGACACUUUAUGUGCCAUGAUUCUUCACUUACAAAUUGUUGUAUGAAGAAAUGAGAGUUGCCUUGAACAACUCUUGAAAGUUUGUAAUUAUGUUUAGAACAUAAUGGUUGGUUGACAAAAAUAGUCCAUCAACAUAUGAUGAUUUUGAAUCAUUGAGUGUUGAAGUGUUAAACCACUUCUAGAAACGGAAACUAGGCAAGGACUUCACCUUUGUGUCCCUAUCCAAAUGGUUCACUAAGUUUAUUGUAAACUAUACAGUGAACAAUAACCACACACUCUCCAAAUCGUUUGAUGUGUAUAACACAAUUGAAAUAAGUUUCAAGAGAGAUAGUGGGAGUUUAGGGACCAUGACUAUUGUAGUCAAAAGGAGAAGUCAAAUGAAGUAAGCGAAAUAAACUCCAAGGGAACAAACUUUCUUUAUGAAAGGAUGGACAUUGGAAGGGGUAUUUGCGAGAAAUGUCUUGCAAGUGUCAAGAACACACCUUUCGAAGGUGUUGUAAAUUGUUCUUGAAAAGUUCAAAACAGUUGGUUCUUCUACUUGAAUGCUUGAUUCCGUAUUAGUAACUAUGUUUUACAAUCAUUGUAAAAGUGUGGCUAAUAAAAAGAAGAAGAUUAAUGAGAGAAGAGAAAGUACUUCACAUUCGGAAUGUGAAUCAAAUGUAGAUCUCUGCAAAAGUAGAUGGUACUUACUUCCUCAUAUGAACUACCAAAGAAAUUGGAAAAACCAAAGAUUGUCUUUAUAUUCCAAUUUAAGGAACUUAAUUCCAUCACUAUAAGGGAUGGAUGAAUGUUUUGUUUGACA
rnacentral:lncRNA from 1 species